rnacentral:rRNA from 1 species
CACGUAGGGUGCGAGCGUUGUCCGGAAUUAUUGGGCGUAAAGAGCUCGUAGGCGGUGUGUCGCGUCGGCCGUGAAAACUCGGGGCUUAACUCCGGGCCUGCAGUGGGUACGGGCAGACUAGAGUGCGGUAGGGGAGACUGGAAUUCCUGGUGUAGCGGUGAAAUGCGCAGAUAUCAGGAGGAACACCGGUGGCGAAGGCGGGUCUCUGGGCCGUAACUGACGCUGAGGAGCGAAAGCGUGGGGAGCGAACAGG